UACGUAGGACCCGAGCGUUGUCCGGAUUUACUGGGUAUAAAGGGUGCGUAGGCGGUCUUGUGCGUCAGAGGUGAAAUCUCCGGGCUUAACCCGGAGGGUGCCUUUGAUACGGCAGGACUUGAGUGCGGGAGAGGGUGAUGGAAUUCCUGGUGUAGCGGUGAAAUGCGUAGAUAUCAGGAGGAACACCGGUGGCGAAGGCGGUCACCUGGCCCGUAACUGACGCUGAGGCACGAAAGCGUGGGGAUCAAACAGGAUUAGAUACCCUGGUAGUCCACGCCCUAAACGAUGUAUGCUUGGUGUUGGGUCCGCAAGGACUCAGUGCCGUAGGGAAUCUGAUAAGCAUACCACCUGGGGAGUACGAUCGCAAGGUUGAA
rnacentral:rRNA from 1 species